rnacentral:rRNA from 1 species
GUGAGUCAUCGAGUCUUUGAACGCACCUUGCACCCUUUGGUAUUCCGAAGGUAUGCCUGUUUGAGUGUCAUUAAAUUCUCAACUUCAAAAUCCUUUUUGAAGCUUGGACUAUGGAAGUUUGCUGGUAUCACUAUCAGCUCUUCUUAAAUGCAUUAGCGGAACUUUGAAGGACCAGCUUUGGUUUGAUAAUCCUAUCUAUGCCGCUGCUGUGGACCUCGUGUGUUCAGCUUCUAAUGGUCUUCGGACUGUCUCCAUUGUGAGGCAUACACUUUUAAGCUUGACCUCAAAUCAGGUUAGGACUACCCGCUGAACUUAAGCAUAUCAAUAAGCGGAGG